rnacentral:rRNA from 1 species
GACGAACGCUGGCGGCGUGCCUAAUACAUGCAAGUAGAACGCUGAAGGAGGAGCUUGCUUCUCUGGAUGAGUUGCGAACGGGUGAGUAACGCGUAGGUAACCUGCCUGGUAGCGGGGGAUAACUAUUGGAAACGAUAGCUAAUACCGCAUAAUAGCAGUUAUUGCAUGAUAACUGUUUGAAAGGUGCAAUUGCACCACUACCAGAUGGACCUGCGUUGUAUUAGCUAGUUGGUGGGGUAACGGCUCACCAAGGCGACGAUACAUAGCCGACCUGAGAGGGUGAUCGGCCACACUGGGACUGAGACACGGCCCAGACUCCUACGGGAGGCAGCAGUAGGGAAUCUUCGGCAAUGGACGGAAGUCUGACCGAGCAACGCCGCGUGAGUGAAGAAGGUUUUCGGAUCGUAAAGCUCUGUUGUAAGAGAAGAACGAGUGUGAGAGUGGAAAGUUCACACNGNGACGGU